rnacentral:rRNA from 1 species
GACGAACGCUGGCGGCGUGCCUAAUACAUGCAAGUUGAGCGCUGAAGGUUGGUACUUGUACCGACUGGAUGAGCAGCGAACGGGUGAGUAACGCGUGGGGAAUCUGCCUUUGAGCGGGGGACAACCUUUGGAAACGAAUGCUAAUACCGCAUAAAAACUUUAAACACAAGUUUUAAGUUUGAAAGAUGCAAUUGCAUCACUCAAAGAUGAUCCCGCGUUGUAUUAGCUAGUUGGUGAGGUAAAGGCUCACCAAGGCGAUGAUACAUAGCCGACCUGAGAGGGUGAUCGGCCACAUUGGGACUGAGACACGGCCCAAACUCCUACGGGAGGCAGCAGUAGGGAAUCUUCGGCAAUGGACGAAAGUCUGACCGAGCAACGCCGCGUGAGUGAAGAAGGUUUUCGGAUCGUAAAACUCUGUUGGUAGAGAAGAACGUUGGUGAGAGUGGAAAGCUCAUCAAGUGACGGUAACUACCCAGAAAGGGACGGCUAACUACGUG